UGUUUAUCAAAAACAUAACAACAUGUAAAAAUAUGUUGCAUCUCCUGCUCAAUGAGUAUUAAAUAGCCGCAGUACCUUGACUGUGCAAAGGUAGCAUAAUCAGUUGGCCUAUAAUUGGGGUCUAGUAUGAACGGAUUAAUGGAUAAACGCUGUCUCCUUUACAUUAAAUAGAAAUUAAUAAGUAAGUGAAAAAGCUUACAGAGCAUGAAAGACGAGAAGACCCUAGAAAUUUUUUACACAAUGUACUAUCUCCUAUUUUGUUGGGGCGACAAAACAACAUGUAACUUGUUUUAUACCAUAAGAAUUUUUGAUGGAAGAUUAAAUUACUCUAGGGAUAACAGCAUAAUUUUUAAAAGUUUGUGACCUCGAUGUUGGACUAGGGAGGCUGCCCCGCAAAAGGGGGAAGUCCUCGUUCUGUUCGAACGGUGUACCCUACAUGAUCU
rnacentral:rRNA from 1 species